UCGAACGAGGUGCUUUUUGUAGCAAUACGAGGAGUAUCCUAGUGGCGAACGGGUGAGUAACGCGUGGGUGACCUACCCCAAAGUGUGGAAUAACAGUCCGAAAGGAUUGCUAAUGCCGCAUGUGGUCUGCGAGUUUAGAAAUCGUUGACUAAAGGAGCAAUUCGCUUUGGGAGGGACCUGCGUCCCAUCAGCUAGUUGGUGAGGUAACGGCUCACCAAGGCUACGACGGGUAGGGGACCUGAGAGGGUGGCCCCCCACAAUGGAACUGAAACACGGUCCAUACACCUACGGGUGGCAGCAGUAGGGAAUAUUGCACAAUGGGCGAAAGCCUGAUGCAGCAACGCCGCGUGCGCGAUGAAGGUCUUCGGAUCGUAAAGCGCUUUUCUGAGAGAUGAGAAAGGACAGUAUCUCAGGAAUAAGUCUCGGCUAACUACGUGCCAGCAGCCGCGGUAAAACGUAGGAGGCGAGCGUUAUCCGGAUUCACUGGGCGUAAAGCGCGUGCAGGUGGUUCGGUAAGUUGGGCGUGAAAUCUCCCGGCUCAACUGGGAGAGGUCGUUCAAUACUACCGGACUUGAGAGCAGAAGAGGAAGAUGGAAUUCCCGGUGUAGUGGUGAAAUGCGUAGAUAUCGGGAGGAACACCAGUGGCGAAGGCGAUCUUCUGGUCUGUUUCUGACACUCAGACGCGACAGCUAGGGUAGUAAACGGGAUUAGAGACCCCGGUAAUCCUAGCCGUAAACGAUGUGGACUUGGCGUUGGUGGGUUAAACUCCAUCAGUGCCGAAGCAAACGCGAUAAGUUCACCGCCUGGGGACUACGGCCGCAAGGUUAAAACUCAAAGGAAUUG
rnacentral:rRNA from 1 species